CCGGGCACUGCAGCCGUGCAGGAUCUCCCAGCGCUCUGGAGUCUGCAGGGGAGGAAACUGGGGGAGGGGAAGGGGAAGUGCCCCGCGGGACAGUCUGCAGAGCGCGGCCUUCUCUCUUGGGGGUACCCGCUCGUAACCACGAGUGGGAACCUCGCGGCGCGGGACGACCUUAACACCGGGAGAGGAGCCUGCACUUCCCGCCACGGCCGCUGGGUGUCACUGAAGCCGCGCGGCUGAGCCGGCUCGGCGCCGUCGGAAGGCGGAGGCGUGGGUCCCGGGAGCCGCAGGACCGGAGCCCGCCGCGUCGGCGCAGGCCCCCACCGACUCGCAAUGAAGAACAAACUAACCCCCUUGCCCCGCGACGGAUGGGCUCAUUGAUGUGGAGCCACGCGAGCCACCUCCCGCCGGCCCGGCGAUCAACGGCGCGUACUCGGCUGCCCUGUGGGGCUGGGUGCGCUGAGCCCAGCCCUCGAAGCGCGCCCCCUGGUGAAAUGCGCGGGGCUUCCCGCCACAGAAGCCAAGGCGGCUCUACCGAGUCCGGCGCCCGUCCGCGACAGCAACUGCAUGUAGGCCGGGUUGUUCCUGGGGAGAAGGGAGCGGAAGGGAGCGGAAGGGCGGGCGCCGGAUGCAGCGGACCUUCCGCACGUGCUGCCGAGCUAGAGCAACUGCGGGAUGCGUCCCUGAGUGCAUCCUCACUCCUAUUCCAGCUUCGCCCAACUCUUAGGUCACGUGCUACUCACCCAGACGCCCCUCCCCACCCCGCAGCACACCCCUUUGAUGUGUGGGAAGGGCUGGCUCAGCUGAGAGAAGGGAACCAGAAGGUGGGAACCUCUAUCGGGACUGAGAGGUGUGAGAGGGCCGUGGGUGGGCCAAAGCUGGAAGAACAGAGAUAUCCUGGAAUCUUUUGGAAAAUUGGGGUAGUGUCUGGUAGGAAUGCCCACUUCUACCGUGUCCUGGGUCUAACUCAGGGUGGGGGAUUGGCUAGGUAGAUGCAGAGGAACGCAUCCGUUGGCCUGCGGGUCUGUGGGGGUGCAGGCGGCGCACUCUGUCCCUGCAUACAGCUUCCCCUCCAACUUCAAUGUCACAGGGCCCAGCUCCAUUACC
rnacentral:lncRNA from 1 species